rnacentral:lncRNA from 1 species
UCGCAACUUUAAUAUUCAUUCUUCGAUGGUUCAUAUACACAUGAUUUGGAUUUUAUGAUCACCACCAUUCAAACGAUUAAAAUGAUAACAAAGAUCAUUUAUCUAAAAAAUCAUCUUAAUCAGAUGAAAUUUGAUAUUUUGAUCACUCAUUUUUCAUUUAACGAUCGAAAUUAUUACAUGCUAAAUCGACCAUGAAAAUGAU